rnacentral:rRNA from 1 species
GACGAACGCUGGCGGCGUGCCUAAUACAUGCAAGUCGAGCGGACGAAUCGAAAGCUUGCUUUUGAUUCGUUAGCGGCGGACGGGUGAGUAACACGUGGGCAACCUGCCCUGUAGACGGGGAUAACACCGAGAAAUCGGUGCUAAUACCGGAUAACACGAAAUGUCGCAUGACGUUUCGUUGAAAGACGGCGCAAGCUGCCGCUACAGGAUGGGCCCGCGGCGCAUUAGCUAGUUGGUGACGUAACGGCUCACCAAGGCGACGAUACGUAGCCGACCUGAGAGGGUGAUCGGCCACACUGGGACUGAGACACGGCCCAGACUCCUACGGGAGGCAGCAGUAGGGAAUCUUCCGCAAUGGACGAAAGUCUGACGGAGCAACGCCGCGUGAGCGAAGAAGGCCUUCGGGUCGUAAAGCUCUGUUGUUAGGGAAGAACAAGUAACGCAGUAACUGGCGUUACCGUGACGGUACCUAACGAGAAAGCCACGGCUAACUACGUG